UACAGAGGGGGCAAGCGUUGUUCGGAAUUACUGGGCGUAAAGGGCGCGUAGGCGGCCUUCUAAGUCAUGCGUGAAAUCCCCGGGCUCAACCCGGGAACUGCGUCUGAUACUGGAAGGCUUGAAUCCGGGAGAGGGAUGCGGAAUUCCAGGUGUAGCGGUGAAAUGCGUAGAUAUCUGGAGGAACACCAAUUGCGAAGGCAGCUCGCUGGGACGUUACUGACGCUGAGACGCGAAAGCGUGGGGAGCAAACAGG
rnacentral:rRNA from 1 species